rnacentral:rRNA from 1 species
GCGGGGGAUAACUAUUGGAAACGAUAGCUAAUACCGCAUAAGAGUAAUUAACACAUGUUAGUAUUUAAAAGGAGCAAUUGCUUCACUGUGAGAUGGACCUGCGUUGUAUUAGCUAGUUGGUGAGGUAAAGGCUCACCAAGGCGACGAUACAUAGCCGACCUGAGAGGGUGAUCGGCCACACUGGGACUGAGACACGGCCCAGACUCCUACGGGAGGCAGCAGUAGGGAAUCUUCGGCAAUGGACGGAAGUCUGACCGAGCAACGCCGCGUGAGUGAAGAAGGUUUUCGGAUCGUAAAGCUCUGUUGUUAGAGAAGAACGUUGGUAGGAGUGGAAAAUCUACCAAGUGACGGUAACUAACCAGAAAAGGGACGGCUAACUACGUGCCAGCAGCCGCGGUAAAU